UUCAUAAGGGAUAGCUUAGUUGAUAGAGCAUGAGGCUCUUAAUCUCAGAGUUUGGGGUUUCGAGCCCCACAUUGGGCGAAA